UACGGAGGGUGCGAGCGUUGUCCGGAAUCAUUGGGCGUAAAGGGCGCGUAGGUGGCGCGGUAAGCGUGCGGUGAAAGCUCGGGGCUCAACCCCGAGUCGGCCGUGCGAACUGCUGGGCUUGAGCACUGUAGAGGCAGGCGGAAUUCCGGGUGUAGCGGUGGAAUGCGUAGAGAUCCGGAAGAACACCGAUGGCGAAGGCGGCCUGCUGGGCAGUUGCUGACACUGAGAGACGAAAGCUAGGGGAGCGAAUGGG
rnacentral:rRNA from 1 species